rnacentral:rRNA from 1 species
UGGGGAAUAUUGGACAAUGGGCGAAAGCCUGAUCCAGCCAUGCCGCGUGUGUGAAGAAGGUCUUCGGAUUGUAAAGCACUUUAAGUUGGGAGGAAGGGCAGUAAGCGAAUACCUUGCUGUUUUGACGUUACCGACAGAAUAAGCACCGGCUAACUCUGUGCCAGCAGCCGCGGUAAUACAGAGGGUGCAAGCGUUAAUCGGAUUUACUGGGCGUAAAGCGUGCGUAGGCGGCUAAUUGAGUCGGAUGUGAAAUCUCCGAGAUUAACUUGGGAAAUGCAUUCGAUACUGGUUAGCUAGAGUGUGGGAGCGGAUGGUAGAAUUUCAGGUGUAGCGGUGAAACGCGUAGAGAUCUGGAGGAAAACCGAUGGCGAAGGCAGCCAUCUGGACUACCAAAGACACUGAGGGACGAAAGCAUGGGGAGCAAACAGG